rnacentral:rRNA from 1 species
UGGGGAAUAUUGGACAAUGGGCGCAAGCCUGAUCCAGCCAUGCCGCGUGAGUGAAGAAGGCCUUCGGGUUGUAAAGCUCUUUUGUCCGGAAAGAAAAGCUUUCGGUUAAUACCCGGAAGUCCUGACGGUACCGGAAGAAUAAGCACCGGCUAACUUCGUGCCAGCAGCCGCGGUAAUACGAAGGGUGCAAGCGUUACUCGGAAUUACUGGGCGUAAAGCGUGCGUAGGUGGUUCGUUAAGUCUGAUGUGAAAGCCCUGGGCUCAACCUGGGAAUUGCAUUGGAUACUGGCGAGCUAGAGUGCGGUAGAGGAUGGCGGAAUUCCCGGUGUAGCAGUGAAAUGCGUAGAGAUCGGGAGGAACAUCCGUGGCGAAGGCGGCCAUCUGGACCAGCACUGACACUGAGGCACGAAAGCGUGGGGAGCAAACA